CUUCUUCUCCCAUCCUCUCUCUCUUCCUUCUGUUUUCUCUUCUUCUCCUUUAACUUAAUUCUAUUGUUUUAAUUUGUUGGAAAUUUUGUAUUACCAGUGUGCACGUCAUGGAUUCAUAGGAGGAAAUCUCACGCUCCAUAUCGAACAACACAUCGAGGAUACCUAUAAUAGCUUGAAACAUACAAGAAAUACAGUGAGAAUAUGCUUUCCAUGGCUGAUAUUGUUACUCCAAAUGUUAAAGAGGCGGUAGCUUUACUUGGUGAUGGACCAAUGAAGUCAGUUUCUGACUUGCGUACUACUGCAUAAUUGUUACAUGACUUGGGCGCUAGGUUUGUUGCUACUCUGGAAACAUAAAUGGAGUCCCUUAAAGCUGGGAAUCUUUGAAGGAUAUAUUGGUUGGUGAUUGGACAAAUGGCAUAGUGUGUAGUAUUGAAAUGCAUGUUAUCAAAGGUUUUGAGAGAUACAAUUCUCAGGUUUUGUAUUUCAACAAAAAGAUUAUUAUGAUAAGACCCAACAGAUGGAUGUGCCAAUGUUGUGGUAAAUGGUGAUGUUGUUACCCAGGGUUCCCAAUUUUCUUUAAAUGAUGUUGAGGUUGUGGUUGCUCAGAUGGAUCUUGAUAUGGUAACAAGCUUUAGAGGAUCUCUAAGCAGCUUCUAGGAGCAAGCAAGUUGUUAAGUCAAGGUUCCUUCUAUAGUUGUACCAUACAGUCUAUGUCUUCUUUUGAUCUCAAAAUACGCCUUUCGGUCCCACUUAAGGUUAGCUCAGCAAAUAUAAAUCCUAUUGGCAGCUUAUGUAAGUAGGACAUUCGAGCAUUCCUGCAAUGGGCAGCCAUCCAUCUUGGUCACUCAUCUUUGGCAGAUAUAGAACAGCUCCAGCCACUACUGAACUUGAGCCUAUAUGUUCUGACUACAUUCAGAUAGUGUUAUGUUAUGUUACAUUUUUCACUAUUGAAGUAUCUUCAUUUUCUUAUAUCCGAGAACUAAUUGUGUUUAUAUAAGUUGGGUUUUGAGAUAUUUAUUUUCAUUUUUCUUAAGUUUUGCUGAGUUGGUUUUGAUACAGGUUGUAUCAUUGUCUAAAUCGUAAGGCCGAGUAAUACCAUGAGCUUCUACUUGAGAAGAUUGAUAAGAACUUUUGUAAGAGGUUAGAACCGUGUUCAAGCAUAACAGUGAUUGGCCUCUAUGUUUGAUAUGCACUACCUAUCUUCUUUAGAGUGAUAUUGGCGCAAAAGCAAUUUAUUGCAGGGCCUUUCAACUUGGGUCGUUACAGAGUCUUCGUUGGUUGGAUUGUUGUUAUUUGGGUGUGGCAACAAUCUCUAUACUAUUCUCAUUAUCUGUUUCAUAUCCAAUAACCAUUGAGACACUAAGCCUUACACCUGUUGUUGUUGGAUGUUUGCUAAUUAUUGUACUUAUUGGUUAAUCAGUGGUAGGCAUUGGCUUAAAGGCCCUAUAACUAAAAUACAAAAUUGAACUUGAGUGUACAAUUUAAUCCAUUGAAUUAUAACCAU